rnacentral:other from 1 species
ACCCUGGGGAGCGCGUGAUUGACCUGUGAGGUUAUUGAGCCAAUACCUCUUAAAAGGGCAAUGAUUUCAGUACACCGGUGUGCAUGCCCGGCAUGUUUCGGGAAGCCUGAUGGGGUACGAAUCGAGCCCACCUGGACAAACCAGGUUCAAAACUGACGGCAACACGGCUCUCUCGGGGAU